rnacentral:rRNA from 1 species
GAUGAACGCUGGCGGCGUGCCUAAUACAUGCCAGUCGAGCGAACAGACGAGGAGCUUGCUCCUCUGACGUUAGCGGCGGACGGGUGAGUAACACGUGGAUAACCUACCUAUAAGACUGGGAUAACUUCGGGAAACCGGAGCUAAUACCGGAUAAUAUAUUGAACCGCAUGGUUCAAUAGUGAAAGACGGUUUUGCUGUCACUUAUAGAUGGAUCCGCGCCGCAUUAGCUAGUUGGUAAGGUAACGGCUUACCAAGGCAACGAUGCGUAGCCGACCUGAGAGGGUGAUCGGCCACACUGGAACUGAGACACGGUCCAGACUCCUACGGGAGGCAGCAGUAGGGAAUCUGCCGCAAUGGGCGAAAGCCUGACGGAGCAACGCCGCGUGAGUGAUGAAGGUCUUCGGAUCGUAAAACUCUGUUAUUAGGGAAGAACAAAUGUGUAAGUAACUAUGCACGUCUUGACGGUACCUAAUCAGAAAGCCACGGCUAACUACG